GUUCGAAGCAGCGAGGCGUCCGAACCAUAGUCGGCAGUAGCGAUGGGGAUGGUCUAGUAGUCACGGAGGAACAGGGGUUUGCUGCAAAGGUAGGCGUCGGUGCUCCUGUGGGCGAGGUGGUGUCGGCCAUUUGGGAAGAUAACACUGGUGUCACGCGUGCCUUUAUAGUAUCAACGGAAUAGAGGCAGCUUCGUGGGGCGCUCUGUGCACAGAUUCUGCUGGCGUAUGAAACCACUGCUUAGGACUGAAUGGACGUUAACAGUCAUCCAGUGCGUCAGUGUUUGUGCAGUGUAGCUAUGUACAGUACAUUGUUCUUGCCGUUCCCAAAACCAGCCAGGGAUCCAAGAACUGAGAGACCAAAGGCAGGGUGGGUGGAGCUACAGUGGAACCCCUUGCAUUUCCAUUGGACCAUGGCCACCAGCUCCAAAUCUCCCAUGUCAACAGGCAUGGUACAGUUAUUGCAAGGAACUCCAUUUCAAGGACUAGAGUGUGAAGAAAGAAGAGGCAUGGGCACAGGCAUCAGCCAACUCUAGCCAUGGAUAUUCCAGUCCUUUGAAAAAGUUUCUUGAUGUAAACAUUAAAAUAUGUAACAUAAAGCAUUUCAUCAGCUUCGUAUAGUGCAUAGGUUCUUACAACCAAGGCCAUAAAUAGUGGCAGACUGUAAACAAUAAUAAUGUCGGCAGUUCGAGGUAACCAUCCCAUCAGUAAUAAUAUAACAAUAAAAUGUAUUUCAUUUACCGCAAUGUUAAUAUGUGUAUUUCCCUUCUUUAUAACUUCUUGUAGACGACGAGGAAAUGAGUCAACUAGGCCUCGCAAUUUAUCUUUUGGAAAACUUUCCCACACUUGUUGCAAUGUAGCUUUUGGUCUCAGCAGUGAACUAGUUUCCUUCUUGAUCUCAUUUUUCAGAAAAGACAACAAGUUCUCAAUAGGAUCAAGAUCAAGAUUGUUGACAAGCCAAUCUUUUAUAUAAUCUAGCCCACAAUUGUCAAACCACUUCUUUACUUGCUUGCUGGUGUGGCAGGGAGCCCAUCCUGCAUGAAACAGCCUGCCUUGCACUUCUCAUAACACUCCUCCAAAUUGUUAUAUAACAGUUCUAAAUACUGCUCACUGUUCACUGUUUCUCCCUUUUCAAGAAAGAUUAAAUUGGCAACACCAUAGUAUGUAAUUGCUCCCCAAACCAUAAGUAAAAUCAGGAUGUUUUACUGUUUUUACAGUGUACCAGUCAGAUCCUUUUGGCCUACACACACUUGCAAACUGUGUCUGUCCAAGAUACUGUGAAAAAACUUUCAUCUCUUCACAGUAUGGAAUGUAUUUUCUCUAUGGGCAAUUGAAUGUAUUUCUUCAAGAAACCAAGCCUGUUUGCAACAUGCCACAGACUGAGCAAAGGUUUCCUAGCAGUAGUGUGGGAAGGGAGAUCAAGCUUUCUGACAGUAAUGUGACACUGUCCUUCGAGACACACUGCCCAGAUCUGGAUAAUUUUCUUUUAACUUAUGUGCUGUACAUACAAGCCUAACAUUCAACUUACACUUCAAUACAGUUAAGAGUCCUUUUAUGAACUUUUCAGGCCAAUCAGGUUUUGAUAAGUGGGUUGGUGUUGUAUCUUUGGCAGCCUGGCACUGCUGCAGCCAGCAUUCGACAGUACAUUGAGAUUCAGAAAUUGUGCUUCCUUGAACAACUGUCACCACCCACAACAAAUACAUCACUGACCACUGACCCUCAUAGCCUAGCUGACAGAUCAGGGAGUGGAAAAGUUGGCAAACAGGUAAUUUUUUUUUUAAAUAUGGUCCCACCAGCCAGACAGGAGAGAUAAAAUGACCCUGGUCAAAUGUUGCCGUGCUUUGUGACACCUGCCACUAUUUUAGGUCUCACCUGUAUAGCACCAUGAAUUUACUCCACUACAAGCAAAAGAGAUGUCAACAAAAGAAUGAUUACUGUGAAAAUGGGAAGCAUGCAGGUUGGCCAGCUGUGAGCAUUUUAUUUGGUUGGCCACAAAAGCACUGAAAGAAACUCAUAUACCCAAAAUCUUUAAACUGUUUAUACUGAAACUGCAAAUGUCAAGGAAUGACCACUAAUUUCCUACAUAAAAUUUUCACAUCUAGUUUACCGUUUGGAAUAACAAUAACCACUAACCUAAACCAUAAACAAGAACGACACAAGCAGACUCCAGUCCAGUGGGUGCCGUGUAGAUGGCCGAGACGCGAGGCAGAGUCUGGUUGUAAGUGAUCAUGUCAUGUGGUGAGAUUCGGAGUUCUGGUAUGUAAGGCAUCAGUCCCUCCUCCUGUGGGCCUCCCGUCACUGGCCGCCGUGGAUCCAGGAACCACUUGUUCAUCUGAAGCAUGUAAAGUGAGAAUAUCAUCAACUCUGUCUUUUGCAUGCCAUAUAUCACAUGUUCCAUCUCCUCUAUGCAGAGUAGAUAGUGUGGUUAUUCAAAAUUCCAGGGUCAGUAAUUAUAACAGCUCUGUGGCACUACAAGAUACAAUUUUUAAGGUUUUGUAGACUUUAACAAAAUAUUCUAAGUGAAGCCCUUCCUCUCAUUUAAUUUGAAUAACCUUAUCUUCCCACACAUGACACCUGAUGGCACACCUGGAGCACAUUGCCUGACUGGAGAGCAAACAGGAUGAACUUGGUGGUGAUGCCCUUCUCUGUGGUGGUGUGGGUGGCUGCCUGCACACCCACAGGCAUGAUGUAGGAUUGCCGCUCAAGGAUUGGGGGAGUUGCUCGGCCUCCAAAUGAAGAGAAGGCUGUGGCAUUAGCUUGAUUCAAGCCUUCAAAUAACUCUAAGGAUGUUACCUGUAAAUGUAGAAAUAAUAUUCAUCUACCUUCCAGCAUUUAUCAUAUGAAAAAUACUAAUCAAAUAACUAACAUUACAUUAUAUGGGCACUGUAUAAAACAUUGCAUUACCAGUGACUCACUUCAAAACGACGGUAUUUGUCAUUGAAGAAUGUGUAGACAACCCAAUUUUCAGAGUGGACAAUAUGGAGAGGCCCAGACACCUUCUUAUGCGAGACAGACUCAAUCACAGCUCCAGUCACUGUGUCUAUCAGGUACAGAUUCAUUGUAUCUGAAAUGCACAAAAAGCAAAUUAUUAAACAUUACCAUUUAAUUAACUGAUAAAUGUUUAAAGUUGAAAAAGUAUCACUCAUGGAGCACAGGCUAAUAAGGCCACCCAAUCCCAGGCUUUGCUAGAAGUAGGGUGGCCAUUUCCUUUCUCCACUGCCUUUAGCCUUCCCAGUCCCUGUACCAAGAAAACUCCUGACUGUAUGUCAAGAUCUUUAGGUACUUAAAGAAACACACUUUCCAAUACUUUCCACACACAGAAUACUAAGGAGUAAGAAUUAAUUACAAACAAGUCUCCUAUCUAGAAAAUUUAAAGUGUGGAAACUAAGUGUGCACCUCCUGGUAAGACACUCACUUUUGUUGAUGUGAUCAUAGCCCUGUGUGGUGACCACCGCCAGGUUAGGGUUGACAUACUUGUACAGCACUGAGCGGUCUGCCAACACCCGCCCCGGGGAAUGCACCUUUUCUGCCACUAGUUUACCAUGCACCCCUGUGAUAGGUCCUCCUCCGAGGGAUACUGUCCAAACUUCACUCAGCGUCAACAUCUGCAAGAUAAGGAGAAAAUUAAAGCAUUACUAAAGUACUUGGGUCAUAUGUCAAAUCUAUUAAUGCUUUCAUUUCAAUCUACUCAGGAGAAAUAUGUUGAGUCAAAUGAAAGGUCUUCAUUUACUAUGUAAUUUUCUAAUGACUAAACAAAGGUUAAAGUUCUCAGCUGCAUCUUGGAAGGAAAAAGCAAAGAUGAAUGAACAGUCAGCUGGUGCUCACCCCUGGCCUGGAGAACCUGAGGGUGUAGCCAGUGAGGGUGCUGCUUCCUGCUUGGGCCAAAUGAACAAAGAUGGAGUCCUUGUGCUCCAGGACCACCUUCUCCCCACUGGCUGGGAACAUAUGAGGAUGCAGCUCCUUGUCCACCAACAUGAGAGGCUGCAAGUCAAGACAAUAAGAUUCCCAGACUCUUCUGUCCUGAGCUGAGGCCUCACCUUCAGGUACUGGUCGUCAGGGUAGUGCAUAAGGAAGGCUUGGGAGAGGUGGUAGCCAAGAGGCACUACUCCCCCUCUCUCCCCAAUGGUUGUGCCAGAA